UAUCCUCCCAACAAGGUAUUUUCUCCUUCAUUCUUGAAGCUUCCAGCGCCAUCUUCUCAUUCUCCCCCAUGGAAAGUUAAUUUUCUUCCAUUUUCUUUCCUUGUUUCCUUUUCAUUUCCUUUCUCUUCUUACUUAUUCCUUCUCCCAACUCCUUGUGCACCAAAGUUAUAACUUCUAACCCCAAUUUUCAGCACAUCUAAACCCUAGGAGAAGAAGAAGGAAAAAGAGAGAAAGGAAGAAAAAAGAUUGGUUUUGUAAUUCAAGCAAGUUAAGCUAUGGUGGCCAUGGGUGUAAGGGAAUUAUGAAUUUUGUUGGGUGAAAUCCAAGCUAAAACCAAGUGGUUUCUUGAGUUAAAGGUGAUUGGAUCUCAGGAUAAGGUGCUCCUCUCUAUCCAUUGCUCAAUAGGUUUACCAUGACAUUAGAUGUUAGCAAUCGUACCCAGAGUCACUCCGCUGACAAUUAAAGUCCAAUUAUGUGUA